rnacentral:misc_RNA from 1 species
GAUGAAGAACGUAGCGAAAUGCGAUAAGUAAUGUGAAUUGCAGAAUUCAGUGAAUCAUCGAAUCUUUGAACGCACAUUGCGCCCCCUGGUAUUCCGGGGGGCAUGCCUGUCCGAGCGUCAUUACAACCCUCAGGCUCAGCUUGGUGUUGGGCCCCGCCGCCCCGGCGGGCCCUAAAGUCAGUGGCGGUGCCGUCCGGCUCCGAGCGUAGUAAUUCUUCUCGCUCUGGAGGUCCGGUCGUGUGCUCGCCAGCAACCCCCAAUUUUUUUCAGGUUGACCUCGGAUCAGGUAGGGAUACCCGCUGAACUUAAGCAUAUCAAUAAGCGGAGGA